GAUGAACGCUGGCGGCGUGCUUAACACAUUCAAGUCGAACGGGCGACGGGGAGCUUGCUCCCCUGAGCUAGUGGCGGACGGGUGAGUAACGCGUGAGUAACCUGCCUUUCUCUGGGGAAUAACAUCGCGAAAGUGGUGCUAAUACCGCAUAACGUAUUCCGAUCGCAUGUUUGGAAUACCAAAGGAUUUAUUUGGAGAAAGAUGGGCUCGCGUCUGAUUAGGUAGUUGGUGGGGUAACGGCCUACCAAGCCGACGAUCAGUAGCCGGACUGAGAGGUUGAACGGCCACAUUGGAACUGAGAUACGGUCCAGACUCCUACGGGAGGCAGCAGUGGGGAAUAUUGGGCAAUGGACGCAAGUCUGACCCAGCAACGCCGCGUGAAGGAAGAAGGCUUUCGGGUUGUAAACUUCUUUAUCAGGGAAGAGUAGAAGACGGUACCUGAUGAAUAAGCCACGGCUAACUACGUG
rnacentral:rRNA from 1 species